UGAUAGUAUGUGACCAAGUUACAAUCGAUUACAAUUGACACAAAUUUAGUCACAAUCAGUCACAAUAAACACACUCCUGACCAGCACCUCAAUGAUCCACCAAUUACUAGACUCGUACGGGAGGUAGUAGUGGAGAAUUUUCUGCAAUGGGCGAAAGCUUGACGGAGCAAUGCCAGGUGGAGGUAGAAGGCCCACAAGUUGUGAACUUCUUUUCCUGAAGAAUAAGCAAUGACGGUAUCUGGGAAAUAAGUAUCGGCUAACUCUGUGCCAAUACCGUAGGAAUCAA
rnacentral:rRNA from 1 species